rnacentral:rRNA from 1 species
AGAGUUUGAUCCUGGCUCAGGACGAACGCUGGCGGCGUGCUUAACACAUGCAAGUCGAACGGUAAGGCCCCUUCGGGGGUACACGAGUGGCGAACGGGUGAGUAACACGUGGGUAAUCUGCCCUGCACUUCGGGAUAAGCCUGGGAAACUGGGUCUAAUACCGGAUAUGAGCUCCUGCCGCAUGGUGGGGGUUGGAAAGUUUUUCGGUGCAGGAUGAGCCCGCGGCCUAUCAGCUUGUUGGUGGGGUAAUGGCCUACCAAGGCGACGACGGGUAGCCGGCCUGAGAGGGUGAUCGGCCACACUGGGACUGAGACACGGCCCAGACUCCUACGGGAGGCAGCAGUGGGGAAUAUUGCACAAUGGGCGGAAGCCUGAUGCAGCGACGCCGCGUGGGGGAUGACGGUCUUCGGAUUGUAAACCCCUUUCAGUAGGGACGAAGCGCAAGUGACGGUACCUGCAGAAGAAGCACCGGCUAACUACGUGCCAGCAGCCGCGGUAAU